AUUAGAGAUGGAAAGGGGAUAAAAAUGCCUCCCUUCUAGAAUUUACGGGAGUUCUCUCUCCCUUCUUCACAAAAAGAAAAAUUCCCAAAUUAAGGAAGAAGAAAUCCCUAAAUCUCGAUCCCUCUCCUUCCUCUCAGCGACAACACAGGACAGCCGCCCUUGUCGCGCCUCACGGAGGCGCCCUCUCUUCCCGCUGUCUCUCCCUCCGGUCGGCGUAUCGCGUCUCCCGUGCAGACGCUGUUCGUCCGCUCCAGCGGACCAGCCGUCGCCGCCCCCGUGACUCCCUCUCUGCUCCGAUAACCACGCAGCACCGCCGCCGUCGGGCAUGCACAUGCGGUGCUCUCACCGUUGACGCCUCGGCGUCGCACCGAGGCUGUCUCCUUUUUGCCGGAAAAGCCGCUGCUUCGAGGACAGUUCUCGGCAUCCGCUCGACGUCAUACGCUCCUCUGUGGGCUAGGCUCGGAGACUCCGGACAGCUUCCUCCUUAAGCUAAGUCCCUAUUUUAUCCUAUUUCAGUUAGGCCUCUCGGGGCAGUAGCUAUGAAGGGUCUCUAAAUUGGGGUUGGGAGUAUUUGGGUUCUAUAAAAGCAUGCUCUUAUCCCAAAUUCUCUUAUCAUUUAUUAUGUUAAAAAAAAACAAAACUUGGAUAGUCGUUUUUGUCAAGUUGGGGUUCUGGUGCUUACUGUGAAGAAAUCAUACUGCUUAAUUCGGCAAUUUUAUUUUUUAAGAACCGAUUAGUCGCUUUUAGUGUAGUUAUGAAAUUGCUUGAAUGGAAGCUCGUUUAGAUUGAUAGUUGAAUGUGUUAUCAUAGUUCUAACCUUUGUUUGGCAAGUCAAAAAUCAAAGCCCUGACCCCGACUGAACAAUGGAUAACCUUUGCUUGGUGAGCCAUCCGGCGUGCUCUGUCAGGCCCCAGGACUCGAUGGCAUCAUAGUUGUCGGUUUUGGCUUGGCUGGCGCCCAUCGCCGCUCGCCACAGGCUUACCAUUGAUGCAGAUUCGGAAGUUUGGGGUUGUGGAUGAAGCAAAUGGGAUAAAAAGUGGUCGCAUGACAUGGGAGAGGUACUUGGCCCUUUUAGGCAGGCUUGAGAGGCUCACAUUCUAAAGAAACAAUUUCAAAUAUGUUGAGCACUUUUGGAAUAGAUUAGCACUUUAUAAUUUUUAGUACUAGUAUUGUUUGUGUAGUUUAAGUCAAAGAUGACCAACACUUAAUAUUGUUUAGUUUGUGUGUUCAAACACGUUACAUUUUUGUGUAAAAUCAUUUGAUGGUUUGAAUAUUAUUCAAAUAGUUGUCAUUUUA